rnacentral:rRNA from 1 species
GGGAUAACAGCGCAANUCCUCUUCAAGAGCUCCUAUCGCCAAGAGGGUUUACGACCUCGAUGUUGGAUCAGGGUAUCCCAGUGGUGCAGCCGCUACUAAUGGUUCGUUUGUUCAACGAUUAAAACCCUACGUGAUCUGAGUUCAGACCGGAGUAAUCCAGGUCGGUUUCUAUCUAUACCANGUGCUUAUUCUAGUACGAAAGGACCGAAAAAGCAUGGCCUAUGUCAUAUGCAAGCCAUCAAUAAUAAUUUAUGCCCGCAACUUAAUUUAUAAAUAAACUUCAACCUACCNNUCAAGACAAGAGAA